rnacentral:lncRNA from 1 species
UGGCUCCCCGUGAGCAAUGUUCUCCUAAAUCCUGCUGUGCUGUGCCAUUUAAUUGACAAACCACAGCCCCAGUCAUAACCAUAGAAGAGACCUUCUAUUGAUCCUCUGAGACAAGUGGAGCGCAGACACUGGCAACAAGGUAGACAAAAUGAAAAGGUACACCUAUUUCUUCAGUCAGGAAAUCAAUGGUCCUGUCAAAACUCAUUUAUGGUGAGUUAUAUCCCCCUUCUGCUAAUAGGUGGGAAAGUAAAUGGGUUGAUUCCAUCAUGCAAAAGUCAAUAUAAUGCGCAAUUGCUAGAAUAUGUAUGGGGCCUAGCAAGCAAGAGAGAAAGAUGUGGAAACAUGGGAAUGAAGUUCACAGGAGUGUCCAACUGUCUCGACAUAUUUGGCAAGUUGCAAGGUUCACCUCUUUGGUAUUUCUCUAUUAAAAUGGCAGAAUGCCCAGUCAAGGCUCUCUUGAAAAGUCAAGGCCUUUCUGAAUGCUAUCCUUCUGAUAUAUUAGAAGUUCAUCUAAGACUCUAUCUCAAAGUUCAAAAAUAUUUGUUUUCUGAUGUGCAAUUUGGAGUUUGGACGAGCAAAAUAAAAUGCAAUAUUACCAUUAUCUAAAUCUACAUUAUCUAAAUGUAGGAAAACAUGAUGCUUUACAAAGCCCUGCGUUUUUUUCCUUGCUUUUUAUUCAAGCUGUAACAACAUGAAAACAAUGUGGCUUUCUUCAAAUUACAGUGGUACCUUGGUUUGCUAACAGAAUGCCUUCCGGGAGUCCGUUCAACGCCCAGAACCAUUCGAAAACCAAAGCAUGGCUUCCAAUUGCCUGCAGGAGUGUCCUGUAGCCAAGCGGAAGCCGCGGAAGCCGCGCCGGAUGUUCGGCUUUCGAAUAUCAUUCAAAAACUGGAACACUCACUUCCAGGUUCCUAUCAUUUGGGAGCCAAUUUGUUUGGGAGCCAAGGCAUUCAGCUUCCAAUAAAAACCAACAAUAAACUAAUAACCAAUAUGUUUUUACAUUGUUAAGGUUAUAAUCUGGCAUUUCAGAAAGGUGCUAGUGAAUAACAAAAUAAACAAUUUUUUUUGGGGGGGGGGGUUUAAGUGUCUAUCUAGGCAGGCUUCGAUUUCCCCCUCCCCCCGCUUCUAUUUUCUGGAAUUUUUACCAUAAUAAUGUGUCUAUAUUUGCUAUCAUACAGCCUUAAACCUUGUUUAGUAUUAAUGCAAGCUUUAACGCUUGUCUACAAUCCAAAUCUUCAUGGGCCCAAUGCACCAGAACUGCAUUAAGGGCACUGGAGUGACUCAGAUUCCAAUUCAUCCUAAUUUGUAUCUGGCUUCUAAAAUGACAUGGGAAUUUGAGGUCAAGGAACUAGGAAGGCAGGGAAAUCAAACUGGUUUCAAUAGAAACACAGAUUUUAUCAUUUGAUGACCGUAAUACUGGGCUUAUUUUGAAUUCACCUCACAAACAUUCAGUCAAUUUAGGUGCAUUUAUUUUGUUCAGAACCAUGGUGUUUUAUCUGAUUUUUAAACCAGUGGCCCACAGAGAGCCCAGGGUAGUGCAUAUGUUUUAUUCUCACAACAAUCCUGUGAAGCAGAAUAGGCUGAGAGAGUGAGUGAUCGGUCCAAGUGUGUCUAAUGUCUGAAUGGUGAUUUUUGAACCAGGUCUUUCCAGUGAAUCUAUAUCCACACCCUCACCACACCCACACCCUGAAGAACUGAGGCAAUGGAAGCACAGAUGGGAUACAGCAGACAGGAUGAAGGAAGUGAGGACCGGCCCUAUCGUUAGACGGAUGAGGUGGCUGCCUCGGGCCACUGCUUUUGCUUGUCAUGAAUGGGAGGCAAACGGCUAUGAUACAAUUUAUUCAUUUAUUCUUACCGUCAUGAUGGGUGGGGGAUCGAUCCUUGUGGGAUUUUUUACCUCAGGUCCAAAAUUACUUGGCUGCUCUUGACUACCACGCAGACUUUUCUUGAGAUGUGUCCGCACCAUUUUCUGCUCUGCUUCAGGCAGAAAAAUGUCUUGGGCUGGCCCUGAAAGAGUACAGCAAACUAUUAAAAAUGCCCCCUCUGCCCUUUAAACCCAAC